GGAGAGGUGCCAGAGUGGCCGAAUGGGCUUGACUCGAAAUCAAGAGAUCCUUUACUGGAUCCCAGGGUUCGAAUCCCUGCCUCUCCG
rnacentral:tRNA from 1 species